rnacentral:rRNA from 1 species
UAAACUCCCCGUGUUGAGGAAGAUAAUGACGGUACUCAACAAGGAAGUGACGGCUAACUACGUGCCAGCAGCCGCGGUAAAACGUAGGUCACAAGCGUUGUCCGGAAUUACUGGGUGUAAAGGGAGCGCAGGCGGGAAGACAAGUUGGAAGUGAAAUCCAUGGGCUCAACCCAUGAACUGCUUUCAAAACUGUUUUUCUUGAGUAGUGCAGAGGUAGGCGGAAUUCCCGGUGUAGCGGUGGAAUGCGUAGAUAUCGGGAGGAACACCAGUGGCGAAGGCGGCCUACUGGGCACCAACUGACGCUGAGGCUCGAAAGUGUGGGUAGCAAACAGGAUUAGAUACCCUGGUAGUCCACACCGUAAACGAUGAUUACUAGGUGUUGGAGGAUUGACCCCUUCAGUGCCGCAGUUAACACAAUAAGUAAUCCACCUGGGGAGUACGACCGCAAGGUUGAAACUCAAAGGAAUUGACGGGGGCCCGCACAAGCAGUGGAGUAUGUGGUUUAAUUCGACGCAACGCGAAGAACCUUACCAAGUCUUGACAUCCUGCGACGGACAUAGAAAUAUGUCUUUCCUUCGGGACGCAGAGACAGGUGGUGCAUGGUUGUCGUCAGCUCGUGUCGUGAGAUGUUGGGUUAAGUCCCGCAACGAGCGCAACCCUUAUGGUCAGUUACUACGCAAGAGGACUCUGGCCAGACUGC